rnacentral:rRNA from 1 species
GACGAACGCUGGCGGCGUGCUUAACACAUGCAAGUCGAACGAAGUGGCGAACGGGUGAGUAACGCGUAAUCAACCUGCCCUUCAGAGGGGGACAACAGUUGGAAACGACAGCUAAUACAGCAUACUGAAGGAGGGGAUGGCGUCUGAUUAGCAGGUGGGGUGGGUAACGGCCCACUAAGGCCAUGAUCAGUAGCCGGUCUGUGAGGAUGGACGGCCACAUUGGGCCUGAGACCCGGCCCAGACUCCUACGGGAGGCAGCAGUGGGGAAUCUUCCGCAAUGGACGAAAGUCUGACGGAGCAACGCCGCUUGAGUGAUGACGGCCUUCUGGUUGUAAAGCUCUGUUAAUCGGGACGCGGUACCGGAAUAGAAAGCCACGGCUAACUACGUGCCAGCAGCCGCGGUAAUUC